UACGUAGGGGGCAAGCGUUGUCCGGAAUUAUUGGGCGUAAAGCGCGCGCAGGCGGUCAUUUAAGUUUGGUGUUUAAUUCCGGGGCUCAACCCCGGGUCGCACUGAAAACUGGGUGACUUGAGUGCGGGAGAGGAAAGUGGAAUUCCACGUGUAGCGGUGAAAUGCGUAGAGAUGUGGAGGAACACCAGUGGCGAAGGCGGCUCUCUGGGACGGUACUGACGCUGAGACGCGAAAGCGUGGGGAGCGAACAGG
rnacentral:rRNA from 1 species